CCUACGGGAGGCAGCAGUGGGGAAUAUUGGGCAAUGGGCGCAAGCCUGACCCAGCAACGCCGCGUGAAGGAAGAAGGCUUUCGGGUUGUAAACUUCUUUUCUCAGGAACGAAGAAAGUGACGGUACCUGAGGAAUAAGCCACGGCUAACUACGUGACAGCAGCCGCGGUAAUACGUAGGUGGCAAGCGUUAUCCGGAUUUACUGGGUGUAAAGGGCGUGUAGGCGGGACUGCAAGUCAGAUGUGAAAACCACGGGCUCAACCUGUGGCCUGCAUUUGAAACGGUAGUUCUUGAGUACUGGUGAGGCAGGCGGAAUGCCUGGUGUAGCGGUGAAAUGCGUAGAGAUUAGGAGGAACACCGGUGGCGAAGGCGGUCUGCUAGACAGCAACUGACGCUGAGGCGCGAAAGCGUGGGGAGCAAACAGGAUUAGAUACCCGAGUAGUC
rnacentral:rRNA from 1 species